ACAUUUUGGCCAGACAUAAACAAACCCACAUGUUGAAGCUUAAAGUCACGGAAAGACCCCAAACAUUUAUACUUUUUACGUGACCUGACCUCGUGGCGCCUUGCUGACCUGACCUGUGGUACUGAGAGGGAAGCAGGAAGACAUAUUGACCAAUUUAGCACCAGAAGGACGAGUAAAAACAACAUGGCGACCCAGAAAACAGGGAAAAGAACCGUGAAAAUUUUGGUGAAGGAAUUUAAGGCGGAUCGAGUGAAGAACGCUAAUGUUAUUUUGGACAUUAUGGAGAGACUGGAGAGUAACGACCCAGGACAACCAUAUCAGCAGUAACCGGCCUCCACCAUAUAUUUAGUUACCUGCUGACUGAGAGAGCGAUUGAGAGGACCAUAAAGGCUGAAGGGGCAGACAAUGCAAGGAACAGGCUGAACAGAUGGUACAAGGAGAU